AAGGUUUUCAGAGCAUUGUUCAGCUUUCCAUAUCCCUGCAGAAAAGACGAGAGGGAAAGUGAACCCAGAGCCUAGGGUGUGGGAGUGAGGCUCCAAUUUCCUAAAUCAUUUGUGAUUAUAAACAUGGAUUCCCAUCUUGCCUGGCACCCAGGUCUACAGGUUUUCUGAAAUCUGCUAUACGAGAGAGUAAAGAGCAGGCUAGGGGAACCCAACAAUAGCUGGAGGAGGGUUUUUAUUACCUGGAGCAUAGCACUGAAGCAUCGACAUCCCACAGUCCCUCUUCAGCUCUGCUGUGAUCAAAGGCUCCUAGGAGAGUCAUAAGAAAGAGCAGAUGGGUGUAGGGGAAGAAAGUCGUGUAGUCGAAAAACAGGGUCAUUCCUCUUGAGUCCAGCAGAGAACUGUAUUCACAGGAGAGCUCUGUGCCAUUGACAAGAGUGCGAAAGAGGAAGCCUACAUGACUUUGAGACUUGUGACCUGACCUGCCUCUGUCCAGCCAACCACAUUGAAUGGGGUCAGUUAGCUGCCUUCAUCUAUGGAGUCACAAAGGU
rnacentral:lncRNA from 1 species